rnacentral:rRNA from 1 species
CUGGCGGCGUGCUUAACACAUGCAAGUCGAACGAAGCACUCUAUUUGAUUUCCUUCGGGAUUGAUUAUUUUGUGACUGAGUGGCGGACGGGUGAGUAACGCGUGGGUAACCUGCCUUGUACAGGGGGAUAACAGUUGGAAGCGGCUGCUAAUACCGCAUAAGCGCACAGUAUCGCAUGAUACGGUGUGAAAAACUGAGGUGGUAUAAGAUGGACCCGCGUCUGAUUAGCUGGUUGGUGAGGUAACGGCCCACCAAGGCGACGAUCAGUAGCCGACCUGAGAGGGUGACCGGCCACAUUGGGACUGAGACACGGCCCAGACUCCUACGGGAGGCAGCAGUGGGGAAUAUUGCACAAUGGAGGAAACUCUGAUGCAGCGACGCCGCGUGAGUGAAGAAGUAGUUCGCUAUGUAAAGCUCUAUCAGCAGGGAAGAUAGUGACGGUACCUGACUAAGAAGCUCCGGCUAAAUACGUG